GCCUUAGGUGGCCUUCCGCUCUGGCGGCUGUCGCGACGGGGGUUCAGGGAAUAUUUACUGGGCCUCUCCGCUCCCUCUGCUCUUGGAGGUGCCAUGAGGUCAGUUAGCUACGUGCAGCGCGUGGCGCUGGAGUUCAGCGGGAGCCUCUUCCCGCACGCAAUCUGCCUCGGAGACGUUGAUAACGAUACGUUAAAUGAACUGGUGGUGGGAGACACCAGCGGGAAGGUGUCUGUGUAUAAAAAUGAUGACAGUCGGCCAUGGCUCACCUGUUCCUGCCAGGGAAUGCUGACUUGCGUUGGGGUUGGAGACGUGUGUAAUAAAGGAAAGAACCUGUUGGUGGCAGUGAGUGCUGAAGGCUGGUUUCAUUUGUUUGACCUGACACCUGCCAAGGUGUUGGAUGCUUCUGGGCACCACGAGACACUAAUCGGAGAGGAGCAGCGUCCAGUCUUCAAGCAGCACAUCCCUGCCAACACCAAGGUCAUGCUGAUCAGCGACAUCGGUGGGCAUGCCUACCUUUGCAGGCAGCCAGGAGAGUAGGAGUCAGUGGAUACUAGAGCAUAUCCCAAGGGAUUGGGAUGGAGAUGGGUGUCGUGAGCUGGUGGUGGGCUACACAGACCGUGUGGUGCGAGCUUUCCGCUGGGAGGAGCUAGGUGAGGGUCCUGAACAUCUGACAGGGCAGCUGGUGUCCCUCAAGAAAUGGAUGCUGGAGGGUCAGGUGGACAGCCUCUCAGUGACUCUGGGGCCACUGGGUCUUCCUGAACUGAUGGUGUCUCAGCCAGGUUGUGCGUAUGCAAUUCUACUGUGUACCUGGAAAAAGGACACUGGGUCCCCUCCUGCCUCUGAAGGGCCCACGGAUGGUAGUAGGGAGACCCCAGCUGCCCGAGACGUGGUGCUGCACCAGACAUCUGGCCGUAUCCACAACAAGAAUGUCUCCACUCACCUAAUUGGCAACAUCAAACAAGGCCACGGCACUGAGAGUAGUGGCUCUGGCCUCUUUGCCCUGUGCACCCUGGAUGGGACACUGAAGCUCAUGGAAGAAAUGGAAGAAGCAGACAAGCUGCUGUGGUCAGUGCAGGUGGAUCACCAGCUCUUUGCCCUGGAGAAACUGGAUGUCACCGGCAACGGGCAUGAGGAGGUAGUUGCAUGCGCCUGGGAUGGACAGACAUAUAUCAUUGAUCACAACCGCACCGUCGUCCGCUUCCAAGUGGAUGAAAAUAUCCGUGCCUUCUGUGCAGGCCUGUACGCCUGCAAAGAGGGCCGCAACAGCCCCUGCCUCGUAUAUGUCACUUUCAACCAGAAGAUCUAUGUGUACUGGGAGGUGCAGCUGGAGCGGAUGGAGUCUACCAAUCUGGUGAAACUGCUGGAGACCAAGCCGGAGUACCACAGCCUGCUGCAGGAGCUGGGCGUGGAUCCUGACGACCUCCCUGUGACUCGUGCCCUGCUUCACCAAACGCUCUACCAUCCAGACCAGCCACCACAGUGUGCUCCCUCAAGCCUCCAGGAUCCCACCUAGCUGUACUUGCCUCAUAGCUGGUGAAGGAUUCUUCUGAACCCCCACCCUACCCCCUAAAGAAUGCGGACCCAGAAUGAUUGGAGAGCAAGAAGAGCAAUCCACAUAGAAGAAGCACAGAGCAAAGACGGUGGCCGAGGACCAGUGGGAAUUUAUUGCGAAUGUUCAAUAGUGACUGAGUGGUUAAGUGGUUCCAGAGAUUACAGGGCCAAUGCCUUAGAACACAUGAGUUUUUUCCAGAAUUACGUUAUCCAUGCACACACACCAUUUGUCUGUGUAGAGCACACUGAGGAGUACUUACUUAAUUUAAGUAUUGUAUUUUGACCAAGGAAGGGGGGCAGAGUAAUGGUGGUGACAGAUGGAGUUGCACCGAGGAGACAUGGCUUGGGGCAGGGAGGAAGGAGGUAGAGGAUCCUGGUUAGGUCCAGGCUAGGGAGAGAGGUGCCCUUUCUCCCUCCCUCCCUCUCCCAUCAGGGCAGAGCAGAAAGGAGAGCAGGUGAAGUGAGUGCAGGCAGGGUUGUUAAUGAAAGUGUGUCCCUGGGAGGCCUCUCACCUUGCAGUUGACCAGAAGAGCUGGAAUCUCUGUCCUGCUGGUCUUCCUCCUGCUCUCCUGGCCAUGAAUCAGGUCCUGCAUCCGGGGAGGCUCCCCCUGAAGCCAAUUCGGGUUUCCCUCCACCAGGCGUCUUUGGAUCACACUGCGCGGCUGCUGGCUCCAUCACAAAACAAUGAAGAUGGGAUCUUGCUAUGCUGCCCAGACUGGACUCUAAUUCCUUGGCUCAAGGCAUUCUCUAGCCUCAGCCUCCUGAGCAGCUGGGACCAAAAGCAUAUGCCACAGUACCUGGCCUCCAUCCUUCCUUUCUGUUACUGCCUGUGUUCCAGACUCCCCACAGCUCUCUCGGAUCCUUGGAACACCUUCUUAAGUUCAUAACCUGUCUCCAGACCUGUUACCUUUCAAAUACAUCUGCUUGGAGCUUCAGCCUGGAAGCUAAAAACCUUGCUACUCCAAAAUGUGGUCCUCAGAUCAGCAACUUUAACAUCAUUUCGAAGCCUCUUAAAAAUGCACUCUCAUACCUACCGAAUCAGAUGUUUCAUUGUGACAAGAUCCCCAGGUGAUUCAUGUGCAGGUUAAAGUUUGAGAAGCACCAAAGUAAAACAUGAAACUAA